rnacentral:misc_RNA from 1 species
GAAAAGUUGGAGGAAUCGAUUCAAGGUAUGCAAAACAAGAUCUAUGGAAUUAAGCAGUCUUGGAGUACUCGCAAUAUGUUGGGAUUACCAAUUCAAGAGGGGAAGGCCAAGGAUCUUGAUAAGAGAAAUGGGCACAAUCUUGAACAGAAAUUGGACAAGGAAAUGAUUUCUGACAUCUAGAAAACAAUUUCAACAACAUUUUGC